rnacentral:rRNA from 1 species
UACAGAGGUCUCAAGCGUUGUUCGGAUUCAUUGGGCGUAAAGAGUGCGUAGGCGGCGCGGUAAGUCGGGUGUGAAAUCUCGGAGCUUAACUCCGAAACUGCAUUCGAUACUGCCGUGCUUGAGGACUGGAGAGGAGACUGGAAUUUACGGUGUAGCGGUGAAAUGCGUAGAUAUCGUAAGGAAGACCAGUGGCGAAGGCGGGUCUCUGGACAGUUCCUGACGCUGAGGCACGAAGGCCAGGGGAGCAAACGGG